rnacentral:rRNA from 1 species
GACGAACGCUGGCGGCGUGCUUAACACAUGCAAGUCGAGCGGUAAGGCCCUUUCGCGGGUACACGAGCGGCGAACGGGUGAGUAACACGUGGGUGACCUGCCCUUAGCUCUGGGAUAAGCCUGGGAAACUGGGUCUAAUACCGGAUAUGACUCCAUGACGCAUGUUGGUGGGGUGGAAAGCCUUGUGCGGCUAGGGAGUGGGCCCGCGGCCUAUCAGCUUGUUGGUGGGGUGANGGCCUACCAAGGCGACGACGGGUAGCCGGCCUGAGAGGGCGACCGGCCACACUGGGACUGAGACACGGCCCAGACUCCUACGGGAGGCAGCAGU